rnacentral:rRNA from 1 species
UACGGAGGAUGCAAGCGUUAUCCGGAUUUAUUGGGUUUAAAGGGUGCGUAGGCGGACUAGUAAGUCAGUGGUGAAAUCCUGCAGCUUAACUGUAGAAUUGCCGUUGAUACUGUUAGUCUUGAGUACAUUUGAGGUAGGCGGAAUGUGGUGUGUAGCGGUGAAAUGCAUAGAUAUACCACAGAACACCGAUUGCGAAGGCAGCUUACUAAACUGUAACUGACGCUGAGGCACGAAAGCGUGGGUAUCAAACAGGAUUAGAUA